rnacentral:rRNA from 1 species
AACGAACGCCGGCGGCAGGCUUAACACAUGCAAGUCGAACGCUCACCUUCGGGUGGGAGUGGCAGACGGGUGAGUAACGCGUGGGAACGUACCCUUUGGUUCGGAAUAACCCAGGGAAACUUGGGCUAAUACCGGAUACGCCCUUCGGGGGAAAGGUUUACUGCCGAAGGAUCGGCCCGCGUCGGAUUAGCUAGUUGGUGGGGUAAAAGCCUACCAAGGCGACGAUCCGUAGCUGGUCUGAGAGGAUGACCAGCCACACUGGGACUGAGACACGGCCCAGACUCCUACGGGAGGCAGCAGUGGGGAAUAUUGGACAAUGGGCGCAAGCCUGAUCCAGCCAUGCCGCGUGAGUGAAGAAGGCCUUAGGGUUGUAAAGCUCUUUCAGCGGGGAAGAUAAUGACGGUACCCGCAGAAGAAGCCCCGGCUAACUUCGUGCCAGCAGCCGCGGUAAUACGAAGGGGGCUAGCGUUGUUCGGAAUUACUGGGCGUAAAGCGCGCGUAGGCGGGUGAUUAAGUCAGGGGUGAAAUGCCGAGGCUCAACCUCGGAACUGCCUCUGAUACUGGUCGCCUGGAGUUCGGGAGAGGUAAGUGGAAUUCCGAGUGUAGAAGGUGAAAUUCGUAGA